AUUUGAUUCAAAAAUUAAAAAAAUAAUAAAUAUUUGUCUUAUUAUCUAUGUUGCAUAUACAUCAUAGUCAAGUAAUAAUGCUUAGAGGAUGACAGUCACUAAAUUUAUUUUGUAUUAAUAAUAUAUAAUGUGUUAUUAAUGUGAAAUGCGCGCAAGACCGACAGAUGAAAACUAAGGUGUUAGAUCUUAUUGCAAUGAAUGGCGCACUGCAGGUAAGGAUGGGUGAUGAGGUCAAACUUGACACAGAGACUAUGAUUAGAAAAACCAAUAGCUUCCUUUUAUUAGAAUCAUAGAGGAAGUUCUUUACAGAUAAGAUCCCAACAAUCUAUAAAAGGAAAUAUCUUUAAAUAAUUAAUAAUCCAAUUGAUAAAGUUAGAGUUCAGUUCUGGCACAUAUAGAACGAUGUUAAAAUGAAGAUAGGAUUGACUUUUCUUCUUAAUUGAAAAAUGGAUGGUGAGGACAACAGGAGAGAUAAACAUUGAAAAAAACAAAGAAACAGUGAAGACGGAUGGCGGAGUUUAUGGCUGUAUUAACGGUGGAGAUAUCUUAGUUCUUGUUGACUGGAAACAAUUCCUUGCAACCGCUGUCUCUAUUCCUGCUUCCACAUCCAACUUGUCAUUCAACCUCUGUCUUGAAAACUCCCACAAGAGUUUUUAUACUAGCUCCAAUAACUUGUCCUUCCACCUUCAUUAAAGAAAGACAGGAC
rnacentral:lncRNA from 1 species